GCCGGGCACAGAGUGUGCCUGUUGUCCCAGUUACUCAGGAGGCUGAGGUGGGAGGAUCACUUGAGCCCAGGAGCUCAAGUUUCUAGGCUGUAGUACGCUAAGCCAUUCAGGUGCCUGUACUAAGUUUGGCAUCAAUAUGGUGACCUCCCAGGAGUGGGGGACCACCAGGUUGCCUAAGGAGGGGUGAACUGGCCUAGGUCAGAAACAGAGCAGGUCAAAACUCUCAUGCUUACCAGUAGUGGGAUCACACCUGUGAAUAGCCACUGCACUCCAGCCUGGGCAACAUAGCGAGACCCUGUCUCCU
ensembl:misc_RNA Metazoa_SRP Metazoan signal recognition particle RNA